rnacentral:rRNA from 1 species
GACAGAGGGGGCCAGCGUUUUCCGGAGUUACUGGGCGUAAAGCGCACGCAGGCGGCGGCUUAAGUGUCGUGUGAAAGCUCCCGGCUCAACCGGGAGAGGCCAUGGCAGACUGGGUCGCUGGAGCGCCGGAGAGGUCUCUCGAAUUGCUGGUGUAGUGGUGAAAUGCGUAGAGAUCAGCAGGAAGACCAAGGGGGAAGCCAGGAGACUGGCCGGCAGCUGACGCUGAGGUGCGAUGGCGUGGGGAGCAAACCGG